AACCUUGCAAAAUCUACUUCCGUCUUGAUGGAAUAGAUCAUUGGUUAUGCACCUAUUCGUGCCCCUACCAAUGUUGUUAAAGAGUACCAUUUUAGUAGUCAAUAUGUGAGACUAAUUUUGCUUCACCAAAUAUCGUUGGAAGAGUAGAAUAUUGACAUGGAUGGCCUUGUUGGCCAAAUCCUCUUAGUAAACCAUUUACUUUGUGAACAUUUUUCCAUGUUCUUAGAUUCAAGUUUGGUGCAUGUUUUACUUAUGGAUAAUCUUAUUGAUAUUGUCCUUGAAUACGAGUUAAUUGAAUCAUGUUUCUUGAUACAUGUGACCGAUUCAAUUAAACACAUGAUUAGGUAGGAAUGUGGGAAAGUUAGUUGUUUGGAUGAAUGCGUACUACGCACACUAACUUUACACCUAAAUCACAUCUCUAACAAUGACUUCAGGUUUAUCCAACCUGAUUAAGAGCAUUUGGCACGCUCUUCGUUUUAUGAAUGGUACUGACUUACCAUUUAAGGGACCUUAAAUUCUCCUUGUCGUUGAGUUUUUUAAGGAUAAUCGAGAUGACAAUGAUUAUAAAUGAAACCACUGAAGAAAAUAGAGUGAAAUAUCUUUGCACCACCUCCAAAAAUGAGCCUGAAGCUUUGAUUUGGGGCCAAUGAGUUGUCUCCCAAUUGGGAAUACACCACAUGUGGCUGGCCUGAAGCUUGGUGAUUGAGUAGUUUACUUGCUUUGGUUCGACCUUUUGGGACACUUAGGUCGAACAAUGAUGCUAUGAUGCAUCUUUUUACCCAAAGUAAGGAUCUUAUGCCCACAAGCACACUUUGCCAAGCCUGCUCAUUAGGGAAAUUAAUUUUCUAUAUCAUUUCUCACAAAGAUACGAAACGACUCCUUCAUCAUAGUGGAUUCAAGGGAAUAUAUGUGGACUAAUCCAAACAAAAUGCAGACCAUAUAAAUACUUAUGGUUUUGGUUGAUGAAUCGACAAACUGGUCAUAUGUUUGUCCACACACAUUGCUGCUAAACCACCACCUUACUUAUCCCUUAAGGGCCUAGGGCCAUCCAAUCUUGUAUGCAGUUAUGUUGGUUCGCCUUGAGGCUUAUUGCCACCCAACCUAUAUGACGUUACAGUGGUUACUGGUUAUGAACU
rnacentral:lncRNA from 1 species